rnacentral:piRNA from 2 species
UAGUUGGUCUUGUACAUGCGCAGUGU